CAAGUUUGUAUACAUUCUAUUCAUAAUGUUAAUGUUAUAAAAUGUUUUUUUGCCAGUAAUAUUUUUCAGUGAAAGAAACAUCACUGUCUAGUUGUAGAACUUAUGUUAUGUCAGCAUAUAUUGAACACUAGACAUAAGCUUUAAAGGAACUUGUUAAAAAAUAUCAAAACGAACAAUUUAAAACUUUUUGUCUCAGAUUCAAAAUAGUAAAGAGUAUUUUAUACUAGGGACCUAAUAAAUGCUUAUGACAUAUACACAGACCCAAAAUAUAUGUUUAUUAAUGAAUAAUUAUCAUUUGCAAUUGACAAAAUUAUAAACAAUGCAAAUAUGAAACAAUUUAAUGAGUUGGAGUGUUUCAGUUGGUUUCCUUAUAUUGUAUUACAACACAUGGAAAGCUUUUAUGGUAAUUUAUGAAGUGUGAACUGCUGUCUGUUAAAUAAUAGUCUAGGUGGCUGAGUGGUUAGAGCGAUAGCAGUUUAAUUCAAAAGAUCCUGAUGAUUAAAGUCCAGCCCAAAUCUCAGUGAGGCUCAUAGUCAGACUUAGUUACAUCAAGGUGCAGGAACACGUGACUUAGUUACAUCAGGGUGCAGGAACAUGUGACUUAGUUACAUCAAGGUGCAGGAACAUGUGACUUAGUUACAUCAAGGUGCAGGAACACGUGACUUAGUUACAUCAGGGUGCAGGAACAUGUGACUUAGUUACAUCAAGGUGCAGGAACACGUGACUUAGUUACAGCAAGGUGCAGGAACAUGUGACUUAGUUACAUCAGGGUGCAGGAACAUGUGACUUAGUGACAUCAGGGUGUAGGAACAUGUGACUUAGUUACAUCAGGGUGCAGGAACCUGUGACUUAGUUACAUCAGGGUGCAGGAACAUGUGACUUAGUUACAUCAAGGUGCAGGAACAUGUGACUUAGUUACAUCAAGGUGCAGGAACAUGUGACUUAGUUACAUCAGGGUGCAGGAACAUGUGACUUAGUUACAUCAGGGUGCAGGAACAUGUGAUUUAGUUACAUCAGGGUGCAGGAACACGUGACUUAGUUACAUCAAGGUGCAGGAACAUGUGACUUAGUUACAUCAAGGUGCAGGAACAUGUGACUUAGUUACAUCAGGGUGCAGGAACACGUGACUUAGUUACAUCAAGGUGCAGGAACAUGUGACUUAGUUACAUCAGUGUGCAGGAAGACGUGACUUAGUUACAUCAAGGUGCAGGAACACGUGACUUAGUUACAUCAAGGUGCAGGAACACAUGACUUAGUUACAUGAAGGUGCAGGAACAUGUGACUUAGUUACAUCAGGGUGCAGGAACACGUGACUUAGUUACAUCAGGGAGCAGGAACACGUGACUUUGUUACAUCAGGGUGCAGGAAGACGGGACUUAGUUACAUCAGGGAACAGGAACACGGGACUUAGUUACAUCAGGAAGCAGGAACACGUGACUGUGGAAACCGAUGGGAGAAUGACAUAGCAUCUGUACCCGAAUAACACUACAAUGCAUAUAAAGAUAACUUGGACCAGAAUCCAUUUCAAAUGAAUGUGGUGCUGCAUUCCGGUUAAUAAUGCGCUUGCAACCAGAUAAACACAUCUACAAUUAUUUGCAGCUUACUUUUAGUGCAGUAAAGCUUCUACAUGAAGGAGCAAAUUUACGCUACUGUGUCGGUACUACCCUCCGAUCAAUAGACUGUCUUAGUUGUCAACCAUGUGACCGACCGAAACUAAUGACGCUACAACAGGGUAAACUUGUGGGUAUUUCAGCUAUUGUGUAUACCAGUUUGUUUGUUGACAUUGACGUAAAGCUGUGCUUUGCCGUGGAAAUUAUCAAUACAGUUGCAUUGCCAUAUAAAGUGCCACACAUAAAACUGUCCUUCUCUAACUAUAUUAACCCUUUCCAUGCUGGGAAGUUUGUCGUCUGCUAAAAUGUUGUCUUCUGAAUUUCUAAAAGUAGCAUUUUCUUAGAUUUUUU